CGUUGCAGGAAUAACCGGCUGCGAACACUUUUUCCUUUGUGCUUGUGCGCGUAUUCAUAUUGUCAACACGAAACUGGUAAUUUGACGCCGCUCCAGAAUCUGUUACUAGAAAGCCCUCUUCUUCUGUGAUCAAGUGAAUUUCAAGUAAUCGCGGACCAAGGAAUACUAUGGCCGAUGUCCGCCUUUCGCAGCUAUUAGUCACAUUGUGCAUUCUAGGAGUGUUAAGCUGCCUUUUUGUAACCCGCCUGGGGUACGUCCACGUGAAAGUCAACUGGCCUGAGUUCCAGUGACGUGGCAGAAAAAAAAGUUCAGGAAUCUGCUGCCUUCAGUAAUGUGGCGCUGGUAAGGCCUCCACCCAGUGAGAAAAUGACGCUGGUGUACGUUAUAUGCGAGAAUCAUUUUGAUCUGGGCCUCGUGGCUGUCAAGUCAGCCGUAGCCUACUCCACGACCAGACUGCACCUUAUCGUCAUAGCAGAUGAUUAUAACAAGGACAAGGUGCGAAACGAG